GGAUUGUGAUCCAAACUAUUGUCGAAAGUGAGCUCAUGUCACCAUUCUCAAAGAGGAAAGAAAAAGCCCCUGGUGGCCGGGGAUUUAGCUCAGUGGUUCCAGCACCUGCCUCGCAAGCGCAAGGUCCCAAGUUCGAUCCCCGGCACCAAAAAAACCCCAAAAAACCCUGGUUCUCCAAGGAAGUAACUGAUUUGGCUGAGCUACUAGUUACAAUGACUCAGAUAAAAUCCAGCACAUCCUAAAUGGUUUCUUGGCAUCAAAAAUUUUAACCAUAGUGUCACUAAAAUUCACUACAACCUUGGAAUAAGAACCCUGUGAAAAUCAGCCUCUCUUGAGUGGACCUUUCAGAAUCAAGAACUUUCUGAUGUGAGCAGUCUUCUUAGAUGUUUACCUCAUGUUGCUCAGCACCUACUUCUGCCAAGAGGAGAAGCCAAGCCAGAGGCAGUUACUGUGAUGGAUACCGUGUGUGCUUAGCGGCCACCCCCCACUCCUGCUCCUCAGGGCUCAGGCCAGCAACCUCUUCUUCCCCACGAAGUCUCUGUGCUUCUGAGAGUCCCCAAGGGAUAGACUAGGAGUAAUAUUAUAACCAGCUUUAAUUCAAUCCACAGAUACUAUUCCUCUGCCAAUUCUGGAAUAGACAUGUGAUCAAAAAAAGCCAAGAUUCACUGAGGAGCUUCUGGAAAAGAAUUUCUUGAGAGCCAAUGGAAUAGAUAGUCUCUCUUCCUCUGGAUAUUGCAGGGUAGGGGUACAGAUAUAAACUUGAAACUGCAUCGGUCAGCUCAUAACCUCCCUAAGGAUCAAACUAACAGAAGAGAGAGAUGCAAAUAGACCUGAGAGCAGAGCAGUGAAGCGGGCCCCUGAUUGAUCCAUGCCUGACCUCCACCCACUACUGGGCUUUUAAGUUCUGUGAGCCAACACAUAUCACCCCAUGGUGGUAUCUAGACCGGCAUAGCCUCACCGGUGACUAGCUGCAUCUCUGAAACCCUGUCAUAUUCUCUACCACUCCUUAUGAAUCGCCUCAGGAGCAGCUGCAGAAACUCAUCACUUCCUAAGGAGUACCCACCAGAGCCAGAGGGCAGAGCCCAUACCUGUGAGCUCUUAGAGUGGGAAGAACGUACAGUCCUUGUGUAAAGUCUCUUUCGGCUCCGAGAAGUGAUGAACCAUGGUACCUGCACUCCCAGUUAUACCUUCUGCCCUUCACAGCGUACCGCCUCCUCUUCCAGCCGGCCAGACGUUGUCUCAGGAAGCAGUUUCCUGGCACAGCAACACUGAACUACUGGCCCCAAGUCCCCAAAGAAGAGACAGCCAGUGAGGAACUGCCUUUAUUUCUUGAUUCCCAUGCAGAAGUCCCAGCAGGGUGGUGGAAGUGGCAUGGAAGCAUCAUCUCCCCAGGAUGUUGCCCAGAGGCCAAGGGAACUGUUUGACCAAUGGACCUACCUCUCAAG